GUCAGACUAUGAUCUUGUUCUCUUCUGAGUUUCCCUUAGUGGUAGUAGCCUGUGAGCAUUUCUGGGAAGUGCAGCUCACAAAUUUAAAACCUUUGCUCUAGUAUAGCAGCUAAUAAGUUGUCAUUAAUUUUAUCUAUAUAAAAUUAUAAAGUAUAGAAGCAUUUGAAGAAACAAGAAUUAAAGGGAAAUAAUUUUGAAAAGGAUUAUAAAUGAAGUAGGCGAUAACUGAGGGGCUUGUGUAUUCCUGUUCAGGCCAAACUCCAUUUUACGCCCAUCACCUACAAGAAAGAUGAUGGUGUGUGCUGGCGCUCUGGGUUUGUUUACUGCUACAAAUGCAGGGGUCUUUGCUGAAGAGCUGACUGUAUGAAAACUGCAAGACCAAGCUCAUUCUGAGCAUCACGAUUUCUUGCUUUAAAACUGAAUUUCAGUUAUCCAAGAGCUGCUAAAUCUGUUUUAAAAGAACUUUUAAGCUUUGAGAGGGCAGGAACAGGAAACUUCAAUCGGAAAGCGAAUUACAUUUUAAGGGCUGAAUGGAAACCACAUGAAGAAGGCAGAUAUAAAUGUCCUUAAUGCAAAUCUGCAAUACUGUUUUUGCUGACUUAUUUUCCCCCUGCUUUCAUGUCCAGCCAGACAGUCAAGCCUGCUUCAUGUCCCUUACAGACUGCUUGCACUCUGAAGACAUGAAAAUUGAAAACAUUUCAGAGAAUCACAGAAUGGGCAAGGUUGGAAGGGACCUCUGAAAUCAUCCAGUCCAACUCCCUGCCUUGCAGGAUCACCUAGAUCACAUUGCACAGGAUGGCAUCCAGGCGGGUUUUGAAUAUCGCCAGAGAAGGAGACUCCACAACCUCUCUGGGCAAACUGUUCCACUGCUCUGUCACCCAGUUCAUCUCUUUUUCCUGCAUUCUGUGAAGGGAAAGUAUAUUUCUUAGAUUUUUUUUUUUAAUGUAUGUGCUCAUUUGGAAAAAGCUAUUGAUGCUAAUGAGUAUUUCUUCCAGAAAUGGGAAGGCUGAAAAAUCUUUUGGUGAAGGAGAUUCAAGAUGAACAACCACCUUCUAAAACAGGAAUGAAUUUGAUUGUGUCUUUUUUUAAAGCCUGCUACCAGUGAUAUACUAGAAAUAAUUAGAGAAGAAUAUUCCUGGUUGUAGAUCUUGAAGACAAAACAAAAGGCUGAUACUAUAGACUGUUUGUCCAACUAACAUACCUGUGACAAGAAGGGAAAGAAUGAAUUUUAUCCAUGGGCAGGGGACUGAAGAAAUGUGUGUAUGAUUGCUCUACCCUCAGAAGAGGAUCUGAGGUGAAAAUGAGAGCCCAUGAAGAAUUAAACUUGCUCAAGAGAGUGGAAGAACAUGUUAACAAGGAAAGAUAAAAACUGAGCAUGGAAAGUUUGGCCAAAUAAUUUCCAAGACGGACCAUGAUGACUUUGUAUUUUUUAUGUGCAAAUUACAAAGAGGGCAAAAACUCCGACUUGAAAAAAGAUGCUAUAACUGGGAAUAGUGGAUUGAAAAGUGAUGAAAAAAUUUCAGACAGAACAUCUGGGAAAAAAAGAUGUCCUAAAGG